rnacentral:rRNA from 1 species
GACGAACGCUGGCGGCGUGCUUAACACAUGCAAGUCGAACGGAAAGGCCCUGCUUGCAGGGUACUCGAGUGGCGAACGGGUGAGUAACACGUGGGUGAUCUGCCCUGCACUUCGGGAUAAGCCUGGGAAACUGGGUCUAAUACCGGAUAGGAUCUAUUUUUAGUGUGAUGGUUGGAAAGUUUUUUCGGUGUAGGAUGAGCUCGCGUCCUAUCAGCUUGUUGGUGGGGGAAUGGCCUACCAAGGCGGCGACGGGUAGCCGGCCUGAGAGGGUGGACGGCCACAUUGGGCCUGAGAUACGGCCCAGACUCCUACGGGAGGCAGCAGUGGGGAGUAUUGCACAAUGGGCGCAAGCCUGAUGCAGCGACGCCGCGUGGGGGAUGACGGCCUUCGGGUUGUAAACUCCUUUCGCUAGGGACGAAGCUUUUUGUGACGGUACCUAGAUAAGAAGCACCGGCUAACUACGUG